GACGAACGCUGGCGGCGUGCCUAAUACAUGCAAGUAGAACGCACAGUUUAUACCGUAGCUUGCUACACCAUAGACUGUGAGUUGCGAACGGGUGAGUAACGCGUAGGUAACCUGCCUGGUAGCGGGGGAUAACUAUUGGAAACGAUAGCUAAUACCGCAUAAUAUUGAUUAUUGCAUGAUAAUUAAUUGAAAGGUGCAAUUGCACCACUACCAGAUGGACCUGCGUUGUAUUAGCUAGUAGGUGAGGUAACGGCUCACCUAGGCGACGAUACAUAGCCGACCUGAGAGGGGGAUCGGCCACACGGGGACUGAGACACGGCCCAGACUCCUACGGGAGGCAGCAGUAGGGAAUCUUCGGCAAUGGACGAAAGUCUGACCGAGCAACGCCGGGUGGGGGAAGAAGGUUUUCGGAUCGUAAAGCUCUUUUGGAAGGGAAGAACGGGUGUGAGGGUGGAAAUUUCACACUGGGACGGUAUUUUACCAGAAAGGGACGGCUAACUACGU
rnacentral:rRNA from 1 species